rnacentral:ncRNA from 1 species
ACAAAUUUUAUUAUAAUUUAAAGUUUAAAUAUAUUUAUUGUUUUAUAUGUAAAUUUUUGUAUAUUUUAAGUUUAGAAAGCUUAGUAAUAUUGCAGUAAUUAGUUUUAAUAUUUUAGAUAAUUCUAGAUUUAGAAAUAAGUUUAAAUAUUUGCAAAAUUUGUGCCAGCAGUUGCGGUUAGACAAAUAAUAUAAUUUAAACUUAUUAGUUUUAAUUAAUUAAAAUUGGUUUUUAAUAAAAAUUUAAAUUUAUUAAGUGAAAUUUUAAAUUUAAUUUUUAUUUGUUAUUAUAAAUGAAGUUAAAAAAUUUAUUUAUAGACUAGGAUUAGAUACCCUAUUAUUUUAAAUGUAAUUUUAAAAAACUAAGUGAUUAAUAGUUAUGAUCUUUAAAAUUAAAAAAUUUGGCGGUAUUUUAGUCUAUUCAGAGGAACCUGUACUAUAAUUGAUAAUCCACGAUUAAUUAAACUUAUUUUAAAUAGCUUGUAUAUCGUCGUAGUUUGAAUAUUUUAAGAGAAUUUUAAUAUUCAAGAUUUUUUUUAGAAAAAAAAUCAGAUCAAGGUGCAGUUUAUAAGUAAGUAGAUAUGGGUUACAUUAUAUUUUAUAUAUUGAUUAAUUUAUGAAAUUUAAUUAUGAAAAUGGAUUUGAAAGUAAUUUAAAUAAAUUUAUUUAAAUGAUUUAAGCUCUAAAAUAUGUACAUAUCGCCCGUCGCUUUCAUUUUAAAAUGAAAUAAGUCGUAACAAAGUAGGUGUACUGGAAAGUGUGCCUAGAAAGUCA